rnacentral:rRNA from 1 species
UAGAGUUUGAACAUGGCUCAGGACGAACGCUGGCGGCGUGCUUAACACAUGCAAGUCGAACGGAAAGGCCCUUCGGGGUACUCGAGUGGCGAACGGGUGAGUAACACGUGGGUGAUCUGCCCUGCACUUUGGGAUAAGCCUGGGAAACUGGGUCUAAUACCGGAUAGGACCACGCGCUUCAUGGUGUGUGGUGGAAAGCUUUUGCGGUGUGGGAUGGGCCCGCGGCCUAUCAGCUUGUUGGUGGGGUAAUGGCCUACCAAGGCGACGACGGGUAGCCGGCCUGAGAGGGUGACCGGCCACACUGGGACUGAGAUACGGCCCAGACUCCUACGGGAGGCAGCAGUGGGGAAUAUUGCACAAUGGGCGCAAGCCUGAUGCAGCGACGCCGCGUGAGGGAUGACGGCCUUCGGGUUGUAAACCUCUUUCAAUAGGGACGAAGCGCAAGUGACGGUACCUAUAGAAGAAGGACCGGCCAACUACGUGCCAGCAGCCGCGGUAAUACGUAGGGUCCGAGCGUUGUCCGGAAUUACUGGGCGUAAAGAGCUCGUAGGUGGUUUGUCGCGUUGUUCGUGAAAACUCACAGCUUAACUGUGGGCGUGCGGGCGAUACGGGCAGACUAGAGUACUGCAGGGGAGACUGGAAUUCCUGGUGUAGCGGUGGAAUGCGCAGAUAUCAGGAGGAACACCGGUGGCGAAGGCGUGUCUCUGGGCAGUAACUGACGCUGAGGAGCGAAAGCGUGGGGAGCGAACAGGAUUAGAUACCCUGGUAGUCCACGCCGUAAACGGUGGGUACUAGGUGUGGGUUUCCUUCCUUGGGAUCCGUGCCGUAGCUAACGCAUUAAGUACCCCGCCUGGGGAGUACGGCCGCAAGGCUAAAACUCAAAGGAAUUGACGGGGGCCCGCACAAGCGGCGGAGCAUGUGGAUUAAUUCGAUGCAACGCGAAGAACCUUACCUGGGUUUGACAUGCACAGGACGCCAGUAGAGAUAUUGGUUCCCUUGUGGCCUGUGUGCAGGUGGUGCAUGGCUGUCGUCAGCUCGUGUCGUGAGAUGUUGGGUUAAGUCCCGCAACGAGCGCAACCCUUGUCUCAUGUUGCCAGCACGUUAUGGUGGGGACUCGUGAGAGACUGCCGGGGUCAACUCGGAGGAAGGUGGGGAUGACGUCAAGUCAUCAUGCCCCUUAUGUCCAGGGCUUCACACAUGCUACAAUGGCCGGUACAAAGGGCUGCGAUGCCGUGAGGUGGAGCGAAUCCUUUCAAAGCCGGUCUCAGUUCGGAUCGGGGUCUGCAACUCGACCCCGUGAAGUCGGAGUCGCUAGUAAUCGCAGAUCAGCAACGCUGCGGUGAAUACGUUCCCGGGCCUUGUACACACCGCCCGUCACGUCAUGAAAGUCGGUAACACCCGAAGCCGGUGGCCUAACCCUUGUGGAGGGAGCCGUCGAAGGUGGGAUCGGCGAUUGGGA